rnacentral:ncRNA from 1 species
UGUUGCUACCAUGGUAACCCUGCUCAGUAUGAGAGGAACCAAAGGUUCAGACAUUUGGUGUAUGUGCCUGGCUGAGGAACCAAUGGGGCAAAGCUACCAUCUGUGGGAUUAUGACUGAACGCCUCUAAGUCAGAAUCCUGCCCGGAAGAAAGGAUGCAGCAGCGCCAGCAAGCCUCGGUUGGCCUCAGAUAGCCGGUCCCCGGCCUUUCUCAACGGCCAGACUCUCCGCCCCGCUGAGCGCCCAGACCUGGCUCUGGUGCAGAGAGCCCCUUGUCCUAAAAAAUGGGGUGUGGCCAGAAAGGCGUUUGCUCCUUGGCCCAUCACAUAACACUUUUAUGGGGAAUCUGAUACUAAACUAUUUGUAAACGCCCUGCUUCUGGGUCAGGGUUUCCUAUGGAGCAGAGCAGCUCCCUCACUGCAGCUUAUUGAAAGUCAGCCCUCCACACAAGGGUCU